AUCUGGGCGGCGAAAUUCAGGAUGACUGGCCGGCCUUGUGCAUGUUUGUCGUUUGAUAUUUUCGUCGCCGUGUCAGACGUCGCGAUCUGUUUGUUGUCGGUCCCUGCUCGGAGGAAUUGCGAUCGAGUUUGUUGUGGGCGCGUUUCGGCGUGUCAUACGGCAAAGACGCGAAUCUCUGGCCGAUAGCGGACAGUAAGCAGUGGUAGCUGAUGCUGUGUCACGUGCACAGUGUUGGUACCGAUCAGCGACGAUUUCUUCGGGCCUCUUUCCGACCCGUCUUGAAACACGGACCAAGGAGUCUAACAUGCGCGCGAGUCGCGGGGUAUCGAGUGUACUACGGUGCGCUCGGUCAUUAUGAAACCCGUAUGUUGAAGGCGUAAUGAAAGUGAACAGGGAAGAUGGUGUUCCGAGUAUACGUACCGUGAAAAUUUGCGGCCGGACACCCGCAUUCCCGGGGCGUCUUAAUGAUUCAUCGUGAAUGCGGAUUGUCGUCUCUCGGGGUGGCAGUCGGUUUGCGAUGGUCAAA
rnacentral:rRNA from 1 species